CCCUUAGAUGUUCUGGGCCGCACGCGCGCUACACUGAUGCAUUCAACGAGUUUCUUCCUGGUCCGAGAGGAAUGGGUAACCUUUUGAAAGUGCAUCGUGAUAGGGAUAGACUAUUGCAAUUAUUGGUCUUCAACGAGGAAUUCCUAGUAGACGUAGUUCAUCAGACUGCAUCGAUUACGUCCCUGCCCUUUGUACACACCGCCCGUCGCUCCUACCGAUUGAAUGGUCAGGUGAGCCAUUCGGACUUUCAUCAUGCUGGUUUCCAGUUUUGAUGAAGGAAAGUCUUGCGAACCUUAUCAUUUAGAGGAAGGAGAAGUCGUAACA
rnacentral:rRNA from 1 species